rfam:Poecilia formosa, whole genome shotgun sequence.
UGAGGUCAGCUGCUUUGACAAUGUUGCACUACUGUACCAUCCAUUCUAGCAGUGCAAUAGUAUUGUCAUAGCAUUUGGCCUCAGU